ACACUCCUACGGGAGGCAGCAGUGGGGAAUCUUGCGCAAUGGGCGAAAGCCUGACGCCGCCAUGCCGCGUGAAUGAUGAAGGUCUUAGGAUUGUAAAAUUCUUUCACCGGGGACGAUAAUGACGGUACCCGGAGAAGAAGCCCCGGCUAACUUCGUGCCAGCAGCCGCGGUAAUACGAAGGGGGCUAGCGUUGCUCGGAAUUACUGGGCGUAAAGGGAGCGUAGGCGGACAUUUAAGUCAGGGGUGAAAUCCCGGGGCUCAACCACGGAAUUGCCUUUGAUACUGGGUGUCUUGAGUAUGAGAGAGGUGUGUGGAACUCCGAGUGUAGAGGUGAAAUUCGUAGAUAUUCGGAAGAACACCAGUGGCGAAGGCGACACACUGGCUCAUUACUGACGCUGAGGCUCGAAAGCGUGGGGAGCAAACAGGAUUAGAAACCCUGGUAGUCCCAUGAU
rnacentral:rRNA from 1 species